rnacentral:rRNA from 1 species
GAUGAACGCUGACAGAAUGCUUAACACAUGCAAGUCAACUUGAACUUCGGUUUGGGUGGCGGACGGGUGAGUAACGCGUAAAGAACUUGCCUCACAGAUAGGGACAACAUUUGGAAACGAAUGCUAAUACUUGAUAUUAUGAUUUUAGGAUAUCCUAGAAUUAUGAAAGCUAUAUGCGCUGUGAGAGAGCUUUGCGUCCCAUUAGCUAGUUGGAGAGGUAACGGCUCACCAAGGCGAUGAUGGGUAGCCGGCCUGAGAGGGUGAUCGGCCACAAGGGGACUGAGACACGGCCCUUACUCCUACGGGAGGCAGCAGUGGGGAAUAUUGGACAAUGGACCAAGAGUCUGAUCCAGCAAUUCUGUGUGCACGAUGAAGUUUUUCGGAAUGUAAAGUGCUUUCAGUUGGGAAGAAAAAAAUGACGGUACCAACAGAAGAAGUGACGGCUAAAUACGUGCCAGCAGCCGCGGUAAUACGUAUGUCACAAGCGUUAUCCGGAUUUAUUGGGCGUAAAGCGCGUCUAGGUGGUUAUGUAAGUCUGAUGUGAAAAUGCAGGGCUCAACUCUGUAUUGCGUUGGAAACUGUGUAACUAGAGUACUGGAGAGGUAAGCGGAACUACAAGUGUAGAGGUGAAAUUCGUAGAUAUUUGUAGGAAUGCCGAUGGGGAAGCCAGCUUACUGGACAGAUACUGACGCUGAAGCGCGAAAGCGUGGGUAGCAAACAGG